GCUCAGUUGGUUGAGUGGCUGACUCUUGAUUUUGAAUCAAGUCAUGAUCACACAGUUGGGGAGUUCGAGUCCCGCACUGGGCU
rnacentral:tRNA from 1 species